rnacentral:rRNA from 1 species
GACGAACGCUGGCGGCGUGCUUAACACAUGCAAGUCGAGCGGAAAGGCCCUUCGGGGUACUCGAGCGGCGAACGGGUGAGUAACACGUGAGUAACCUGCCCCAGACUUUGGGAUAACCCUCGGAAACGGGGGCUAAUACCGGAUACGACACAGCUUCGCAUGGGGUCUGUGUGGAAAGUUGUUCGGUUGGGGAUGGGCUCGCGGCCUAUCAGCUUGUUGGUGGGGUGGUGGCCUACCAAGGCGACGACGGGUAGCCGGCCUGAGAGGGCGACCGGCCACACUGGGACUGAGACACGGCCCAGACUCCUACGGGAGGCAGCAGUGGGGAAUAUUGCACAAUGGGCGGAAGCCUGAUGCAGCGACGCCGCGUGAGGGAUGACGGCCUUCGGGUUGUAAACCUCUUUCAGCAGGGACGAAGCGUAAGUGACGGUACCUGCAGAAGAAGCGCCGGCCAACUACGUG